rnacentral:snoRNA from 1 species
UUUUAAUGGUGCGGGCAGUCCUUGAGAAGAGAUUUGAACCUCUCCCAAGCAUGAAUAAGUUCUUAUCUAGAUUUUGAUUGAAACUUGGGAUCUCACUUCUUAACCU